CAAGGUGGGCGUCAUUUCCUGUACCGCUCGCGCCGGGAGUUACCUGAGUUUUUAAUCGGUAACCACCGGAACAUCUCAAUGGCGUCUACGGGUAAGGAGAAAGCUGUGAAAAUGGUUUCAGAAAAGUCCGGCCAAUUACUUCGUCAGUAUGAGAGCCUCCAAAAAGAGAACAAGAGAAUCAAAAAGGAGUGUAAACAAAUGCGGGAGGAAAGAGAUACGGCCUUACGGAAGCUAAAUGAAUUUGAACAAGUGUCUCACAAGGUGAUCGAGGAAGUGAACAACAUUCAGGAGGAUCUAGAGAUUGAGAAGACCUGCAGACAGAGUGUAGAAGCUUUGGCCUCCAAGUUGAACAAACAGAACCGCUCUCUCAAGAGGAAGAGUAUGCUUUAUUUAGCCCAUCUUAAUGCUGAUGUCGUUGCUGAGAUCAAAAUUGAUGAUGAGGAAGAUGAAGCUUCACAGGAGAUGGAUGUCUGUAAUUCCUCCCACUGUCAGCUCGUCAUCACAGAGCUGAGGGAUAAGCUAGAUGUGAUCCUGGCAGAAAAGAAACAGAUGGCUUUCGUUCUGGAGACAACAAGAGAACAGCUCUGUCAAACUAGGCAGGAACUCCUGAAAGAGAAACAUGACAAUACUGUUUUAAUAGCUGAAACAUUCCAACAAAAGAAACUCUUGGAAAAAUACAACAGAGUUUCUCAGUAUGCUCUGGAGGAGUUUGAGACCUUACAGGAGGAUCUGAAGCUUGAGAGGGACCUGCGUUCUGAAGCAGAGAAGUUUGCGCAUGAGAUGCUGAUAGAACAGAAGAAGUUAAAAAGACAAAGCCAGAUGUUAAUUCAGAGUUUGUCUCCGGCCGAAUCGCUCCAGAACGCUCUGGCAGAGAUCAACACACUAACACACACUCUAGAGAAGGAGAGACUCGAGCAGCAGAAGCAGAUGAAAGCACUUGAAGAACAGAUACACAACAGUGAAUUAAAAAAGCAGCUCAUGACGUUACAAAGACAAACAGAACUGCUGGAGGAAGAAAGAAACGAGUGGCAGCACAAAUACACUAAAGCUGAAACUGAGGCCAAGGAUCUCAGAUUCGCAGUGGAGGAAGUAAAGAAAAAGCUUCAUCAGGUCUCCAACCCAUCACCAGCUGCCCUAGCAGCACCACCGCCUCCUCCGCCCCCACCUCCUCCGCCUCCACCUUCUGCAUCCUCGAGCAACCCUCUCAGCUCAUUAUUGUCUAUACUUCGUAAGAAAAAAGAUAUCAGCACCGAAAUCGCAUUAGUGGAGAAGGACUCCUCUGAAAAAGCCCCAGAGAAGGACAUCAGACAUCAGGCCGUAGAUGAGAUGAUGCAGCGGAUCAAGAAAGGGGUUCAACUCCGUCCGGUUUCCCACACAGCCAACAGAAGCAGACCGGGACCGAAAGAACAAACAUCAUCAAAUUCUGCUAUACAGGAGCUUAAAGGAAUUCUGAACUCUGUUAAGCAUUCAGGCCCCUCCCCCUCAUCUGGGGCCGGCCCUCUAUCACCAUCCCCAAAGUCUGAGCUAGAAAAAGCCCUGCUAAGACGACGAGAAGCACUGGACACGACACAGACUAACACAACUCCCAGUAGUUUUUUAGAUCCGACCCAGGUCAAGCAAACCCAGACAGAAUCAGACCAGAGCAUAAGAGACCAGGAUACACAGCACGGCAACCACACUUUGCACUAAAGCGAGACCUCGCAGGAGAACUCUGGCUAUGUCACCCAUUGUACACCCAUAAAAGGCAGCCUGGUCUGCAUCAUGGAAAUCAGGAGUACAAAAAAGGAUCUCAAGAAUGAAAACGCUGACGCUCACACACAGAUUGUUUAGGUUGAUUUAAAAAAACGUGGCAAAAGUAAAUUUUCACUUCACUUAAUAAUCCUAACCGUAUAUGGAGAACACGUUUGUGUAAAAAUGUGACUGCUGUGACAAGUUUUAAAAUAAA